GAAUAGUUUGCACGCACGGUCACGCGGAGUAGUUGAGCGGGCCGAACUGAAAGGCCGACGGGGAAUCUCGCUGUAUCCUUACUUAGGUGCCCGAUGCCCCAGCCUCUGAGGUCACCGCCGUGGCCCUGGGACAGCUGCACCAUGCCGAGGCGCAUCUUCCUGAUCUGCACCGUCUCCUCCAGCCAGGGGCCGGCGCCCGCCCGGUCGGCGAAGCGCAGACGGGCGUAUGUCAUGGCGUCGCCCACCAGGCAGAACGGAACGAACACGAACAGCACCAGCGGUGCCAUCCCAACGGCGAACAUAUCCGCUUCCAGGCCGUUCAGCACCACCUGUACACGAAGGUUCAGUUUGUCAGUAGAGACAACCAGGUUGUUUCAGCCUUCAGGUGGUUACAAUCCGUUUGAUAAUUGCAUCCUGGUUGUUUCAGCCCGCUCUAGUGAUUGCAAUCUAGUUGUUUCAACACCCUCUCAUGAUUGCAACCUAGUUGUUUCAAACACCUUUUCGUCAUUGCAAACUGGUAGUUCUAGCCACCUCUAUGGCAAUCUCGUUGUUUCAGCCAGCUCUAAUAAUUGCACUCUGUUUCGACCACAGCCAAUGAUUUCCAAUAGGUGCCAGAUUGUUUGAACCUCCGCGGAUGAUUGCAAUCACGUUUCAACCCCCAGGUUGCAACUACCUGGUGGCAUCUUGCCAGCACUCACCUCCACGGUGCUGAGCAGCGGGACCACGACGCUCACGAUGAGGACCUGGGAGAGCAGGUCGGCCACGGACGCCUCCAUGUUGAGGGAGGCCUGCGUGAGGACGCUCUGCUGGUGCGCCAACAGCGUGUUGCAGGGCCUCGUCUCCACAUGAAAACCAGCCAGCGAAUAUUAACGCGAUAUUAAAUGGACGUGAUUGUCGAAUAUGUUAGAAAUGGUUCAACCUUUUGUGACAUUUUUGUUAUGUCGAUAACGGCUAAUAUCGUUUCUAUCUUAGUGCUUAGCUGGAACACCUCUUGCCCUGUCUGAUGGUACCUGGAGGGCCUCGCCUAUGGCCUCGUACAUGUUCGCCAUGGAGAGGUAGAUGACCAGGAUGAGGACGACCGACGUGUAGUCGGCCAGAACGGCGCUGACCCCCGAGUACAACCGGAGCGCCAGAGAGGCCCAAAGCAGUAUAGUCGUUGCGACUUGAUGGUGCGCUGUAAAUAAAGCUAUUUUGUAUUUUCUG